GGCCUUUUGAUUAUAAUUUAAGGUCGGGCCUGCCCAAUGAAAAAUUUAAUGGCCGCGGUAUAUUAACUGUGCAAAGGUAGCAUAAUCAUUAGUUUUUUAAUUGAAAGCUGGAAUGAAGGGUUUAAUGAAAAAAGUUCUGUCUCUAUUUAAAUUUAUUAGAAUUUUAUUUUUAAGUUAAAAAGCUUAAAUAAUUAUUGAAGACGAGAAGACCCUAUAGAGUUUUAUAUUUUAAGAGAUUACUGUAUUUGGUAAAUUUUAACUUAAUUUUUGAGAAUAUUUAGUUGGGGUGAUUGAAAAAUUAAAAGAACUUUUUUUUAUUUAAACAUAAAUGUAUGAGUAGAUGAUCCUUUUUUUAGAUUAAAAGAGCAAAUUACCUUAGGGAUAACAGCGUAAUUUUUUUUAGAGUUCUUAUCAAAAAAAAAGAUUGCGACCUCGAUGUUGGAUUAAAAUAAGUUUUUGGUGCAGAAGCUAAAAAACUAGGUCUGUUCGACCUUUGAAUUUUUACAUGAUCUGAGUUUAGACCGGUUUAAG
rnacentral:rRNA from 1 species